GUGCUCAUUUCAGCAGUACAUAUACUAGAUUGGAAUAAUAUAGAGAUUAGCAUGACUCCUGUGCAAAGAUGACACACAAAUUUGUGACGUGUUCCAUAAAAAA
ensembl:snRNA U6 U6 spliceosomal RNA